AGAGUUUGAUCCUGGCUCAGGACGAACGCUGGCGGCGUGCUUAACACAUGCAAGUCGAACGGAAAGGCCCUUCGGGGUACUCGAGUGGCGAACGGGUGAGUAACACGUGGGUGAUCUGCCCUGCACUUUGGGAUAAGCCUGGGAAACUGGGUCUAAUACCGAAUAUGACCAUGCGCCUCCUGGUGUGUGGUGGAAAGCUUUUGCGGUGUGGGAUGGGCCCGCGGCCUAUCAGCUUGUUGGUGGGGUAAUGGCCUACCGAGGCGACGACGGGUAGCCGGCCUGAGAGGGUGACCGGCCACACUGGGACUGAGAUACGGCCCAGACUCCUACGGGAGGCAGCAGUGGGGAAUAUUGCACAAUGGGCGCAAGCCUGAUGCAGCGACGCCGCGUGAGGGAUGACGGCCUUCGGGUUGUAAACCUCUUUCAGCACAGACGAAGCGCAAGUGACGGUAUGUGCAGAAGAAGGACCGGCCAACUACGUGCCAGCAGCCGCGGUAAUACGUAGGGUCCGAGCGUUGUCCGGAAUUACUGGGCGUAAAGAACUCGUAGGUGGUUUGUCGCGUUGUUCGUGAAAACUCACAGCUUAACUGUGGGCGUGCGGGCGAUACGGGCAGACUUGAGUACUGCAGGGGAGACUGGAAUUCCUGGUGUAGCGGUGGAAUGCGCAGAUAUCAGGAGGAACACCGGUGGCGAAGGCGGGUCUCUGGGCAGUAACUGACGCUGAGGAGCGAAAGCGUGGGGAGCGAACAGGAUUAGAUACCCUGGUAGUCC
rnacentral:rRNA from 1 species